UACGUAGGGGCCUAGCGUUGUCCGGAAUUAUUGGGCGUAAAGAGCUCGUAGGCGGUCUGUUACGUCUGCUGUGAAAACCCAGGGCUUAACCCUGGGCUUGCAGUGGAUACGGGCAGACUAGAGGCAGGUAGGGGAGAAUGGAAUUCCCGGUGUAGCGGUGAAAUGCGUAGAGAUGUGGAGGAACACCAGUGGCGAAGGCGACUCUUUGGUCUGUAACUGACGCUGAGGCGCGAAAGCGUGGGGAGCAAACAGG
rnacentral:rRNA from 1 species